rnacentral:lncRNA from 1 species
CUGAAUGGUAGGCUCACCCAGCCUCCAUCUUUGCCCUCGGAAACAGUCAUCACAGAAGGAAGUCCCUGGCUUGUAUUUAAGCAAACGACACUGUGAUUGAUGGUUUUCUUCUAGCUUUUUACCCGUCUAGCUCCUUCUACGACUCAUCUGUGUCCCUCCCGUCUGAAUCCUGGGGAUAGAAUGUUCUCCUUCAUUGCUUCUUUAGCCAAGAGUUCCUGAGGCACAGCCAGGGCACCUGGGUCAGCAGUCUGAAAGGGGAAAUAGGAUGAUCCAAGGUCUUCAGGAAGAGAGAAUGGAAGACUCGGGUGGGUGUGUCUUGUUUAUAUAGACAGGUUCUCUCUGUGCGGCUUGUACUGAUCUCUAGAACUCACUGAGAUCUGCCUGCUCUGCCUGGGAUUGAAGGCUAUGCCCCCAAGUCUACUUCUAGCAAC